AGUAAACGGCUGCAUAAAUCUGAGUGUACUAAGGUAGCGCUAUAAUUUGCCCUUUAAAUGGGGGCUGGUAUGAAUGGGUUCACGUGAGAGUUGCUGUGUCACAAAAAUUGAAAUUAACUUCUAGGUGAAGAGGCCUAGCUUAGUUUAGAGGACGACAAGACCCUAGAAGCUUUAUUCUCCUUUUCUUUUGUUGGGGCAACAUAGCUAAAAAAUAUAGCACCGACAGGUUUUAUCCAGAUUAGUGAGUAAGAGCUACUCUAGGGAUAACAGCGUUAUUUUUUUUAAUAGUACAUAUUGUAAAAAAAGUUUGCGACCUCGAUGUUGGACUAAGGUGUCCUUAAAGUGCAGAAGCUUUAGAGGGUUGGCCUGUUCGUCCAUUAAAACCUUACAUGAUCUGA
rnacentral:rRNA from 1 species